AAGCGCUGGUUAUCAAAACGGAACCUUUUAAACAUCGUCUGUAUGUUGCUAACGGACACGUAACGGGGACGUACUGAUUUGUCGUCAACACGAACAACUAAAGUACCGUCCGUCCGUACAUGCCUCGCUCUGAGCAGUGACAGCCAGCAGUCCAGCAUGAAUGUGAACCAGGGCACGGUGGGCAGCGACCCAGUCAUUCUGGCCACGGCUGGAUACGACCAUACGGUCCGUUUCUGGCAGGCCCACAGCGGGAUCUGCACCAGGACAGUUCAGCACCAGGACUCUCAAGUAAACUCACUUGAGGUCACACCUGACAGGAGUAUGAUUGCAGCAGCAGGUUAUCAGCACAUCCGCAUGUACGACCUGAACUCCAACAACCCCAACCCGGUGAUCAACUACGACGGCGUCAGCAAGAACAUCACCUCUGUGGGUUUCCACGAAGACGGACGCUGGAUGUACACAGGAGGAGAAGACUGUAUGGCUCGCAUAUGGGACCUUAGGUCAAGAAAUCUACAGUGUCAGAGGAUAUUCCAGGUCAAUGCUCCAAUCAACUGUGUAUGCCUGCAUCCCAACCAGGCAGAGCUGAUUGUUGGAGACCAGAGUGGAGUGAUUCAUAUCUGGGAUCUGAAGACCGACCACAAUGAACAGCUGAUUCCUGAGCCGGAGGUCUCAGUCAACUCAGUUCACAUUGACCCAGAUGCCAGUUACAUGGCAGCGGUCAACAGCUCGGGAAACUGUUAUGUGUGGAACCUUGCUGGAGGCAUCGGAGAUGAGGUGACUCAGCUUAUUCCCAAGACUAAGAUCCCUGCACACAAACGCUACUCACUCCGCUGCAAGUUUAGCCCUGAUUCCACCUUUUGGUGUUGGUCGUCAUCUCCAGCCUGUUGGCCACCUGCUCAGCAGACCAGACCUGCAAGAUCUGGAGGACGUCCAAUUUCUCUCUGAUGACGGAGCUGAGCAUCAAGAGCAACAAUCCCGGAGAGACGUCUAGAGGCUGGAUGUGGGACUGUGCUUUCUCUGGAGACUCCCAAUACAUUGUCACUGCCUCGUCCGACAACCUGGCCCGCCUGUGGUGCGUGGAGACCGGCGAGAUCAAGAGGGAGUACAGCGGCCACCAGAAAGCUGUGGUGUGUCUAGCUUUCAAUGACAGUGUACUGGGCUGAGAAGGAGGAGGAGGAAUGAGACAGGAGAUGGCAGGCAGUGUGGAGAGAUGGAACAAGGACAGAAAAGCGACUCUUUGGAAGAUGUGCCUCAAUUCACAGAGGUGCGCUGGGCAUUAAUGGGAAUAAUUAAAAAGCUUCCCAGAAAUGAUCAUCUUGAGAAAGUGGAGGUUUGUGUCUACAGUGCUCCUCCUUGCCAGAUGCCUGCAAGUAUUCUGAAUAGCAGCAAGGCCAUAAAGUAACAAUCCACUUUAAAUGGCCAAGCACCCCAUUUUACACCAACUUUAAGCGGCCGGUCAGGAACGCGUCUGUACUAACAGUAUAGGUCUGAAUAAAAUACAUGAUAAUUUUCAUCAGGUACCCUUUAUGUUUUUAACUUCAUCGCUCUAUGCACAAUAGGAGAUCCGUUUCAACCCUUUUUUUGUUAUAGUGUACCAUAUUUAUUGUCAUUCUUUUUUCAGUCUAAUCAAGAAACAGUGGCUCAAAAAUUCAAUAAACAGUCUUUUAUUGGGCAGAUGAAAACACUCAUUGCAACAGAAACGGUUACACAUAAUUACACUGCAGCAGUGGGUUACAGGAAAUACAAUUAUCAGCACGUACAAAAAAAGGGGAUCUUUCUUCUGUAAUCUCUGAGGUGUGCCACCAGAGAGGGUAUUACACAUGAAGAGAGUGACGACGGGGCUUUGGCAAUAACCGUGACAGCCUGUCUCCAUCUCUUCUGUCUCGGAAGCAUGGAAAUGGACUGGGAGGGUUGGCUGCUUUACUGGCGGCUGUAUGGCACGAAGGAAACAGUCAAAGCUGGCUUUUGUUCUUUUUUUUCUUUUUUUUUUUUUCUUUCUUGUAGAGGGAGCUAAAAAGACAACUUUGUUUCCCUGAUCUUUUGCUGGGAGGAGAGCAAGAGAAUACACAGUCACUCUGGCAGGUAGUAGAAGCACACAGACACGCAGAUGUUGCUGGGAAAGCAGAUGUCGAUGCAGAAGUAGACCAGCCUCUGUUUGCCUGGGCCUGAAAGCAACAUAAAGACCGCAGUGACUCAUUAAAAAUCGGACAAAAUCUUUGACAAAACCCAGAUUUAGUGAACACGACCUCACUGUGGAAACAGGCCAUCAUAGUGGAGACAGCACAGCAUUUACUGUUGACUGCAUUAACCGCUAUUAAUAACCUGCCUCCCUAAAUUCAGAAUAUUAUGCCCUAAUUCUACAAACACUACCCAGAUAACCUGUCACAACUUUAAAGCUAAGCUUUAAUGAUAAAUUAUUUGAUAAAAACAUUUUCUUUUUCCUAGUAGUAGUAGAGUACAGUAAAGCUUAUAUAAACUGAUUGAAUCAGUCACAAAAUCCCUGUCACACAUUAUUAAUACAUUUUGACAAUAUUUACAAGUUAGACACAAUUUUGGGUCUAAAAGCAGCCUGAUUAAUGUACGAUAUGUUAAUAUACUAAUUCUGUAUGGGGAAAAUGUGUCACCAGCACCACCUGUAGACUGUUCAGUGAGUAUAAUGUUACUUGCUGCGACAGUGGAAAGGUCAUUGCACUUCAUAGAUUAGACUCAGGUUUCCGCCUGACGCGUUAGUUCGAUAUGGAGUUGCCACCUGACUAAUUUUAAAAACUCCCAUCAUACAUUGUCUGUGGGGACCUGACAAACUCUGGUGUGUAAUGUAAGAAACCGUGCCAUUUUUAUUUCACACUUAUUCUUAUUCACUCUUUUUUAAUUUAUUUUAUUUCACACUUUUGUCAAGAGGCCAAAAUGUCUGUAUACAACUAAAAUAAAAACCUACAGUAUAUCA